UACGUAGGGGGCAAGCGUUGUCCGGAUUUAUUGGGCGUAAAGGGCGUGUAGGCGGUUUGGUAGGUCCGCUGUGAAAACUCGAGGCUCAACCUCGAGACGCCGGUGGAAACCAUCAGACUAGAGUCCGGAAGAGGAGAGUGGAAUUCCUGGUGUAGCGGUGAAAUGCGCAGAUAUCAGGAGGAACACCAAUGGCGAAGGCAGCACUCUGGGACGGUACUGACGCUGAGACGCGAAAGCGUGGGGAGCAAACAGG
rnacentral:rRNA from 1 species